GUGGGGAAUAUUGGACAAUGGGCGAAAGCCUGAUCCAGCCAUGCCGCGUGUGUGAAGAAGGUCUUCGGAUUGUAAAGCACUUUAAGUUGGGAGGAAGGGCAGUAAGUUAAUACCUUGCUGUUUUGACGUUACCAACAGAAUAAGCACCGGCUAACUCCGUGCCAGCAGCCGCGGUAAUACGGAGGGUGCGAGCGUUGUCCGGAUUUAUUGGGUUUAAAGGGUGCGUAGGCUGGAAGGUCAGUCAGCGGUGAAAAGCUGUCGCUUAACGAUAGUCUUGCCGCAGAUACUUCCUUUCUUGGAUGAGGAGGAGGCCACUGGAACGGAGGGUGUAGCAGUGAAAUGCAUAGAUAUCAUCCAGAACACCGAUUGCGAAGGCAGGUGGCUGUACCUUAAUCGACGCUGAUGCACGAAAGCAUGGGGAGCAAACAGGAUUAGAAACCCUGGUAGUCC
rnacentral:rRNA from 1 species